rnacentral:misc_RNA from 1 species
UAAGUUUAAUGUCUCUGGUUU